GUCUCUGAGGCACAAUAGGUUAGCGCGUUUGGCUGUUAACUGAUAGGUUGGUGGUUCAAGCCCCCCCAGGGAUG
rfam:Danio rerio chromosome 4, GRCz11 reference primary assembly.